rnacentral:rRNA from 1 species
GUGGGGAAUAUUGGACAAUGGGCGCAAGCCUGAUCCAGCAAUGCCGCGUGCAGGAAGAAGGCCUUCGGGUUGUAAACUGCUUUUGUACGGAACGAAAAGGCUCUGGUUAAUACCUGGGGCUCAUGACGGUACCGUAAGAAUAAGCACCGGCUAACUACGUGCCAGCAGCCGCGGUAAUACGUAGGGUGCAAGCGUUAAUCGGAAUUACUGGGCGUAAAGCGUGCGCAGGCGGUUUUGUAAGACAGACGUGAAAUCCCCGGGCUCAACCUGGGAAUGGCGUUUGUGACUGCAAAGCUGGAGUGCGGCAGAGGGGGAUGGAAUUCCGCGUGUAGCAGUGAAAUGCGUAGAUAUGCGGAGGAACACCGAUGGCGAAGGCAAUCCCCUGGGCCUGCACUGACGCUCAUGCACGAAAGCGUGGGGAGCAAACAGGAUUAGAAACCCUGGUAGUCC